rnacentral:misc_RNA from 1 species
GAAUUGCGAUAAGUAAUGUGAAUUGCAGAAUUCAGUGAAUCAUCGAAUCUUUGAACGCACCUUGCACUCUUUGGUAUUCCGAAGAGUAUGUCUGUUUGAGUAUCAUGAAACUCUCAACCCCCCUAUUUUGUAAUGAAAUGGGCGUGGGCUUGGAUUAUGGUUGUCUGUCGGCGUAAUUGCCGGCUCAACUGAAAUACACGAGCAACCCUAUUGAAAUAGACGGUUUGACUUGGCGUAAUAAUUUAUUUCGCUAAGGACGUCUUCUUCAAAUAUAAGAGGUGCUUCUAAUGCGCUUUUAUAGCACUUUAAGCUUUAGAUCUCAAAUCAGUCAGGACUACCCGCUGAACGUAAGC